rnacentral:rRNA from 1 species
GAUGAACGCUGGCGGUGUGCCUAAUACAUGCAAGUCGUACGCAUUCUCGUUUCUGAUUGACGGUGCUUGCACCUAAUUGACGAGACAUUGGAUGAGUGGCGGACGGGUGAGUAACACGUGGGUAACCUGCCCAGAAGUGGGGGAUAACAUUUGGAAACAGAUGCCAAUACCGCAUAAAAGUCAAAACCACAUGGUUUUGAUUUAAAAGAUGGCCUUUGUGCUAUCACUUCUGGAUGGACCCGCGGCGUAUUAGCUAGUUGGUAAGGUAACGGCUUACCAAGGCAAUGAUACGUAGCCGAACUGAGAGGUUGAUCGGCCACAAUGGGACUGAGACACGGCCCAUACUCCUACGGGAGGCAGCAGUAGGGAAUCUUCUACAAUGGGCGCAAGCCUGAUGGAGCAACACCGCGUGAGUGAAGAAGGGUUUCGGCUCGUAAAACUCUGUUGUUAAAGAAGAACGUAUCUAAGAGUAACUGCUUAGGUAGUGACGGUAUUUAACCAGAAAGCCACGGCUAACUACGUGCCAGCCGCCGCAGUAA